rnacentral:lncRNA from 1 species
GGGAUAUCGCGCACCUAUAGAGGUAAGCAGAUUGUGUAGAACUGCAGCUUGUUAUGUAUAAUGCUGUUUGAUUUAAUCUGAUGCUAUUUUAGACUUAUGCAACCAAAUCUAUCAGAAAGAGUGCAUGAUAAAUAAAGUUUAUAUAAUGGAAGAGGAAAUCCACCCAGCGAGAGCAUGAUGAAGUAGACCACUCUACUUUUUAAACUGGGAACUUCGAUUGGAAAUUGUUACUGAUUAUUGAAGUCGCAUGGUAAGAUAGCUGAAUAGUACUAUUUCAGUACUGGAAGUUUAUGCAAGUUGGUGCACAGUACCGGAAGUGGUGGUAUGAGUGAAAUGAAGCACACUUCUGAUGGGGAGAAAAAACGACUCGUUCGUAAGGAGACAAUUGAUCUCUUCUGAAUCAAGGUGAUGUUGGUUCGACAGAUGGAUAUCUUUACCUAUUUUUGUGAAGAGUUUUGUGUGAACCUGGAAACGACAAGGGGAAAUAUAAUACAGGGUCUAGCAUGAGAAGACAUUGAUUUUGAGCACAAAUGCAAAAAUGCAUAACCGAAAAAUUAAAAGGCCUUUGUUAAUGUCUCAGUUGGUAGUCUUCGUCGGUUAAUUUUCGUCCUAUCUACCAUGUUUUUUUCGUUCUCCCUCCCACCUUACGGUUCCAAAAAAACCAACCAAAACCAACUGAGCCCUGUCCCACAAAACGAAAUCAGAGGAAUGAGGCCUCCAUGACUCCUCUCUCGAUCUGUUUCCUAGGGACUGAACACCGCCGCCGCCGCCGAUCCCAUCUUCCCCGGUGACAUG